rnacentral:miRNA from 1 species
UGGGUGCUGAGUCCUGUCCGUCAC